AUUGAACGCUGGCGGCAGGCCUAACACAUGCAAGUCGGACGAGUGGCGGACGGGUGAGUAAUGUCUGGGAAUCUGCCCGAUGGAGGGGGAUAACUACUGGAAACGGUAGCUAAUACCGCAUACCCUCAGAUGUACCCAUAUGGGAUUAGCUAGUAGGUGGGGUAACGGCUCACCUAGGCGACGAUCCCUAGCUGGUCUGAGAGGAUGACCAGCCACACUGGAACUGAGACACGGUCCAGACUCCUACGGGAGGCAGCAGUGGGGAAUAUUGCACAAUGGGCGCAAGCCUGAUGCAGCCAUGCCGCGUGUAUGAAGAAGGCCUUCGGGUUGUAAAGUACUUUCAGCGGGGAGGCGUUACCCGCAGAAGAAGCACCGGCUAACUCCGUGCCAGCAGCCGCGGUAAUUC
rnacentral:rRNA from 1 species